UUGAUCCUGGCUCAGAUUGAACGCUGGCGGCAGGCCUAACACAUGCAAGUCGAGCGGUAACAGGGGAAGCUUGCUUCUCGCUGACGAGCGGCGGACGGGUGAGUAAUGUAUGGGGAUCUGCCCGAUAGAGGGGGAUAACCACUGGAAACGGUGGCUAAUACCGCAUAAUCUCUUAGGAGCAAAGCAGGGGAACUUCGGUCCUUGCGCUAUCGGAUGAACCCAUAUGGGAUUAGCUAGUAGGUGGGGUAAUGGCUCACCUAGGCGACAAUCCCUAGCUGGUCUGAGAGGAUGAUCAGCCACACUGGGACUGGGACACGGCCCAGACUCCUACGGGAGGCAGCAGUGGGGAAUACUGCACAAUGGGCGCAAGCCUGAUGCAGCCAUGCCGCGUGUAUGAAGAAGGCCCUAGGGUUGUAAAGUACUUUCAGUCGGGAGGAAGGCGUUGAUGCUAAUAUCAUCAACGAUUGACGUUACCGACAGAAGAAGCACCGGCUAACUCCGUGCCAGCAGCCGCGGUAAUACGGAGGGUGCAAGCGUUAAUCGGAAUUACUGGGCGUAAAGCGCACGCAGGCGGUUGAUUAAGUUAGAUGUGAAAUCCCCGGGCUUAACCUGGGAAUGGCAUCUAAGACUGGUCAGCUAGAGUCUUGUAGAGGGGGGUAGAAUUCCAUGUGUAGCGGUGAAAUGCGUAGAGAUGUGGAGGAAUACCGGUGGCGAAGGCGGCCCCCUGGACAAAGACUGACGCUCAGGUGCGAA
rnacentral:rRNA from 1 species